rnacentral:tRNA from 1 species
GGGCGAUUAGCUCAGUUGGAUAGAGCGUUGGUCUCCGGAACCAGAGGUCGUGGGUUCAAAUCCCGCAUCGCCCACCA